AAAUUGAAGAGUUUGAUCAUGGCUCAGAUUGAACGCUGGCGGCAGGCCUAACACAUGCAAGUCGAACGGUAACAGGAAGCAGCUUGCUGCUUCGCUGACGAGUGGCGGACGGGUGAGUAAUGUCUGGGAAACUGCCUGAUGGAGGGGGAUAACUACUGGAAACGGUGGCUAAUACCGCAUAACGUCGCAAGACCAAAGAGGGGGACCUUCGGGCCUCUUGCCAUCAGAUGUGCCCAGAUGGGAUUAGCUUGUUGGUGAGGUAACGGCUCACCAAGGCGACGAUCCCUAGCUGGUCUGAGAGGAUGACCAGCCACACUGGAACUGAGACACGGUCCAGACUCCUACGGGAGGCAGCAGUGGGGAAUAUUGCACAAUGGGCGCAAGCCUGAUGCAGCCAUGCCGCGUGUAUGAAGAAGGCCUUCGGGUUGUAAAGUACUUUCAGCGGGGAGGAAGGUGUUGUGGUUAAUAACCACAGCAAUUGACGUUACCCGCAGAAGAAGCACCGGCUAACUCCGUGCCAGCAGCCGCGGUAAUACGGAGGGUGCAAGCGUUAAUCGGAAUUACUGGGCGUAAAGCGCACGCAGGCGGUCUGUCAAGUCGGAUGUGAAAUCCCCGGGCUCAACCUGGGAACUGCAUUCGAAACUGGCAGGCUUGAGUCUUGUAGAGGGGGGUAGAAUUCCAGGUGUAGCGGUGAAAUGCGUAGAGAUCUGGAGGAAUACCGGUGGCGAAGGCGGCCCCCUGGACAAAGACUGACGCUCAGGUGCGAAAGCGUGGGGAGCAAACAGGAUUAGAUACCCUGGUAGUCCACGCCGUAAACGAUGUCUACUUGGAGGUUGUGCCCUUGAGGCGUGGCUUCCGGAGCUAACGCGUUAAGUAGACCGCCUGGGGAGUACGGCCGCAAGGUUAAAACUCAAAUGAAUUGACGGGGGCCCGCACAAGCGGUGGAGCAUGUGGUUUAAUUCGAUGCAACGCGAAGAACCUUACCUGGUCUUGACAUCCACAGAAGAAUCCAGAGAUGGAUUUGUGCCUUCGGGAACUGUGAGACAGGUGCUGCAUGGCUGUCGUCAGCUCGUGUUGUGAAAUGUUGGGUUAAGUCCCGCAACGAGCGCAAC
rnacentral:rRNA from 1 species